UAUCUCUUUUUUUUCCCCCUGAUGCCACCACAAAAGGGUAUCGGUGAUGGCAAAGAAGAAGUGUGAUGAUGACCAUAGAACCAGAGAUGGAAAAUUAAUGCAAACUAUGGAAUAUGUUUCUGUCACCUCAGUAAAACGUGACUACAUUGAAGAAAAACAGAAAGUCAGCUGCUUUUAGUCUUUAUCUGCGUGUCCCUGUGUCUUCACCAGGGCCUGCUCCCAGUGGGACAUGGUCACUAGGGAGUCACCCAAGCAGCAUCCUAGUUGGAGGCACGAGCUAGCUCCUCUGGCUCCUCUUGACUUGAAGGAGCAGCGCUUCAUCUCUGCGUCCCUCGGUACCCCAUAACAUCCAGAGCAUUGAGGAAUCUCUAUUGAUAAGUAGCUUGCCACCACCAGGGUGUGACUGAGGAGUGAAUGAAUAAUGCAUGAAAUUGUAAAGUGUCGUUGAGUGUCAAGAAACACGCUAUUUAAGUGUAAUGCAUUAUUAUUACGCUUGUUUCAACCAGUCUGGAUGUGAAAUUUGCUGUAUAUGAUGACAAACUGGAAUGUUUUUGUUUACAUAUGUAUCUUUUUGGUCAAUGUCAGCUUCGCUAGCCAUUUUUGAAUUGUUGAUUUGACCUCACGGCUCUGAGUUGCCAUAUAAAAAAGUUCCUUGCAGCUAUAGGUUAAUAAUUGACCUGGGAUCAGCUGUCAGUCUCUUAAAAUGGUCUCUUUAAGGGUGGAGGACUUUAUAAUAAAUAAAUAUGAAAACACUUCAAAUUUUUGUGAAGGUGUUAUAUGUAAGGUAUAAAACAAGAGUUGGGGUCCUGCUGUAUUUUACAAUGUUGCAUUCAGGACAAGACAUAAAGAUGACGAACGGUUUUAAGCACACACGCACAUAAUGAUCUCUGUGGGGUUAGACCAUAGAAAUAGCCUCGUCGCUGUGCUAAGGUUUGCUUCCACCCAGCACAGGGAGGAUUAUGACAGAUCAUCUGAGCUCAUCCAUUUUACCAUUAACCUUUUCACUGGCUUAUCAUCCUAGUUAGCCCCCAUUUCUCCGCUACGUUUCACUGAAUUGGUCCAUACGUGCGUCUGAUCUCCCCUUUCAUCCUCUCUCAUUUAGUUUAGCUUUCUAGAACCUCAUUUCAUCAACAGGUUUUCCUUUUAAAUGUGAUUUUAAUCAUACAAAUAUUUAUUAAAAAGGAAUCCCUUCUCAUUGUUUAUUUUUUUCUGCAACUUGCUCAGCUACAAGAAAGCAUAAGAUAAAAAACCUUACCAAAAAUCCAUAGUAUCCCCUUUUCUUAAAACAUACAGAAUACAGAAGUUUUUCCAUCUCAGCCCACAAGUUUGUAUUGUGUUGGAACUGAUAAGAAUAUGAAUUUAUUUGCCUUACUCUAACACUAUAAUGUCUGUGUGUUAUCUUAAAUGGGUUAAUAAUGGAAUAUUAUAGCCACAGUCCUAUUCUUCACUUCUUCUUUAGAGUUUUUAUGGAAUAGCCCAAGUCUCAAGGGAAGAGAUCUUUCAACUCAGUUGUAAUUCAACAUUGGAGAGCAACACAAGUCGCCCUGAAAAGUGCUGCAAGGUGGCCUGGGGGAAGUUACUCAGGCUUUCCAGAAAGGAAAUCAAAAGGGCAAUACACCCUUGGGUGCGAGAAAAUGAAAUGUUACAAUUCCUGGUGCGAGCUCUCCCCGAUGGCUAAACCACUGAGCUGAACUUUGGGGCGCUUCAGAGGAACCACAAGUCCCAGCUGUGUCACUUAGAUUCAGCACACGCUCGUUUUGAAGUGGAAAAUUCUAGCUCAAAUCUCCCUUUCAUAGCCAAGAUUGUUGAGGAAGUUAUUUUUAAUCAACUCAGCAUUUUCUUGAACUUAAAUUGACUUUUUGACAAGUUUCAAUCAGGUUUCCGAACUCAUCAGAGUUCUUCUGCUCUUAUCAAAGUGCUAAAUGAUAUAAGGUUGAAUACUGACUCGGGAAAUGUGUCAAUUCCGGUCUUGUUGGAUCUCAGUGCGGCUUUUGAUACGGUAGAUCAUAAUAUACUGCUGAACAAGUUGGAAACAUGGGUAGGACUAAAUGGAACAUUCCUUAAAUGGUUCAGGUCCUACCUGGAGGAAAAGAGUUAUUUUGUAACCAUUGAACCAAGUGUUCAAUCUCAUCAAAUGGCAAUGACCUAUGGCUUCCCUCAAGGGUCAGUUCUUGAACCCCUCCUGUUCAGCCUGUAUACGCUACCCUUGGGGCAAAUUCCUCAGAACUUUUAAGUUUUGACUAUCUUAGCUAUGCAGAUGACACACAGUUAUAUCUAGCAGAGUCUCCAGAUGACUACAGUUCAAUUGAGGUGUUUUGUCACUGUCUAAAACAGAGACAUAACUGGAUGAGCCAAACUUUUCUUUAAUUAAACCACAACAAAACUGAGAUAAUUGUUUUUGGCAAUAAGAGGAAAAGAGGAUUGCUGUUGGUAAAUAUCUGGAGUCUCUCUUUAAAAAUCAAAGACCAAGUCUGAAACCUUGGCGUACUGAUAGAUUCCGACCUGAUUUUAAUUUCAUCAAUUGCCUUCUCCCAUCUGAAGAACAUAUCCAGAGUGAAGGCUUACAUGUGCUAAGCAGACCAGGAGAAGCUCAUCCAUGAUUUUGUCUCAUGUAGACUUUCCUAUUGUAAUGGUCUUCUGACUGGACUCCCCAAAAAGAGCAUUAAACAGCUGCAGCUCAUUCAGAAUGAUGCAGCUCGGGUUCUGACCAGAACAAAGAGAUCAGAGCAUAUUACUCCAAUUCUAAAGUAUUUACACUGGCUCCCAGUCAGCUUUAGAAUAAAUAUUAAAGUUCUGCUACUGGUCUAUAAAUCACUAAAUCGUUUAGUUCCUGAAUACAUGAAAGAAAUGCUAAUGGGUGUAUACCCAGUGGGGCUCUGAGAUGCUACACACAAAUGGAAUAAGCUGCCAACAGAAGUGACAUCAGCCCCAAAUGUGAAUGUUUUUAAGUCCAGGUUAAAAACUCUUCUUUUUUCUCAUGCUUUUUAGAGCAUUUCCACUAUUAAAUGAUAUUUCUUGCACUGUACGCUGUUUUAAUAUUUUUUUCUUCUUCUCUUUGUUAUAAUGUUUAUAAGCAGUUUAUUUCUUUGUUUUCAAAUGUUUUUAAUCAUGUAAAGCACAUUGAGUUACCUUGUGUAUGAAAUGCGCUAUAUAAAUAAAUUUGCUUUGCUCUUGCUUU